GACGAACGCUGGCGGCGUGCUUAACACAUGCAAGUCGAACGGAAAGGCCCUGCUUGCAGGGUACUCGAGUGGCGAACGGGUGAGUAACACGUGGGUGAUCUGCCCUGCACUUCGGGAUAAGCCUGGGAAACUGGGUCUAAUACCGGAUAGGAGCCAUUUUUAGUGUGAUGGUUGGAAAGUUUUUUCGGUGUAGGAUGAGCUCGCGGCCUAUCAGCUUGUUGGUGGGGUAAUGGCCUACCAAGGCGGCGACGGGUAGCCGGCCUGAGAGGGUGGACGGCCACAUUGGGACUGAGAUACGGCCCAGACUCCUACGGGAGGCAGCAGUGGGGAAUAUUGCACAAUGGGCGCAAGCCUGAUGCAGCGACGCCGCGUGGGGGAUGACGGCCUUCGGGUUGUAAACUCCUUUCGCUAGGGACGAAGCUUUUGUGACGGUACCUAGAUAAGAAGCACCGGCUAACUACAUG
rnacentral:rRNA from 1 species